GAUGAAGAACGCAGCGAAAUGCGAUACGUAAUGUGAAUUGCAGAAUUCAGUGAAUCAUCGAGUCUUUGAACGCACAUUGCCCCCCCUGGUAUUCCGGGGGGCAUGCCUGUCCGAGCGUCAUUGCUGCCCUCAAGCACGGCUUGUGUGUUGGGCCCCGUCCUCCGAUCCCGGGGGACGGGCCCGAAAGGCAGCGGCGGCACCGCGUCCGGUCCUCGAGCGUAUGGGGCUUUGUCACCCGCUCUGUAGGCCCGGCCGGCGCUUGCCGAUCAACCCAAAUUUUUUAUCCAGGUUGACCUCGGAUCAGGUAGGGAUACCCGCUGAACUUAAGCAUAUCAAUAAGCGGAGGA
rnacentral:misc_RNA from 1 species